rnacentral:misc_RNA from 1 species
GAAAUGCGAUACUUGGUGUGAAUUGCAGAAUCCCGUGAACCAUCGAGUCUUUGAACGCAAGUUGCGCCCGAAGCCGUUAGGCCGAGGGCACGUCUGCCUGGGCGUCACGCAUCGCGUCGCCCCCUUUCUUGGUCGAGCGGCCGAGCUUGGGGAGCGGAUGGUGGCCUCCCGUGCCCCCUAACUCGGGGUGCGGCUGGCUCAAAUGCGAGUCCCCGGCGGCGGAUGUCACGGCGAGUGGUGGUCGUACCCAGUGUGCAUAUCUCCGCGUCGUGGCCCCGUCGUUCGUGGGCAAAAGACCCUUCGACGAGCUGCAGCAGUGUGGCUCUCCGACCGCGACCCCAGGUCAGGCGGGAUUACCCGCUGAGUUUAA